UGUUCUUUUCGACUAUCUAAUACUUUCUUGAUUAUUCUGGAUGUAUUGAGGAGGAAAACCUUUUGUAACAGAUCUAUUGGGCACUCUAUUCUGAUUCCCUUUAUAUUCUUCUAGAUGUCUUCUGGUACUGACCCCAAAGACCCAGCAGUAAUUGACACUAUCUUCACCUUCUUCAUUCUCCAUAGCUGGGCUAUUUUGUAUGUAAGGGGAUAGUUAUAUUCAUUUU